AUUGAACGCUGGCGGCAUGCUUUACACACGCAAGUCGAACGGUAACAGGCCGCAAGGUGCUGACGAGUGGCGAACGGGUGAGUAAUGCAUCGGAACGUGCCCGGUCGUGGGGGAUAACUACUCGAAAGAGUAGCUAAUACCGCAUACGAUCUAUGGAUGAAAGCGGGGGACCGUAAGGCCUCGCGCGAUUGGAGCGGCCGAUGUCAGAUUAGGUAGUUGGUGGGGUAAAGGCUCACCAAGCCAACGAUCUGUAGCUGGUCUGAGAGGACGACCAGCCACACUGGGACUGAGACACGGCCCAGACUCCUACGGGAGGCAGCAGUGGGGAAUUUUGGACAAUGGGCGCAAGCCUGAUCCAGCAAUGCCGCGUGCAGGAAGAAGGCCUUCGGGUUGUAAACUGCUUUUGUACGGAACGAAACGGCUCUGGUUAAUACCCGGGGCUAAUGACGGUACCGUAAGAAUAAGCACCGGCUAACUACGUG
rnacentral:rRNA from 1 species